CCCAAGUUUAAGGUGGUAGGCUGAAAUCUUAGGUAAAUCCGGGGUUUCAAGGCCGAGAGCUGAUGACGAGUCGUCUUUUAGAUGACGAAGUGGUUGAUGCCAUGCUUCCAAGAAAAGCUUCUAAGCUUCAGGUAACCAGGAACCGUACCCCAAACCGACACAGGUGGUCGGGUAGAGAAUACCAAGGCGCUUGAGAGAACUCGGGUGAAGGAACUAGGCAAAAUGGCACCGUAACUUCGGGAGAAGGUGCGCCGGCUAGGGUGAAGGAUUUACUCCGUAAGCUCUGGCUGGUCGAAGAUACCAGGCCGCUGCGACUGUUUAUUAAAAACACAGCACUCUGCAAACACGAAAGUGGACGUAUAGGGUGUGACGCCUGCCCGGUGCCGGAAGGUUAAUUGAUGGGGUUAGCGCAAGCGAAGCUCUUGAUCGAAGCCCCGGUAAACGGCGGCCGUAACAAUAACGGUCCUAAGGUAGCGAAAUUCCUUGUCGGGUAAGUUCCGACCUGCACGAAUGGCGUAACGAUGGCGGCGCUGUCUCCACCCGAGACUCAGUGAAAUUGAAAUCGCUGUGAAGAUGCAGUGUAUCCGCGGCUAGACGGAAAGACCCCGUGAACCUUUACUGUAGCUUUGCACUGGACUUUGAGCCUGCUUGUGUAGGAUAGGUGGGAGGCUUUGAAGCGUGGACGCCAGUUCGCGUGGAGCCAUCCUUGAAAUACCACCCUGGCAUGCUUGAGGUUCUAACUCUGGUCCGUAAUCCGGAUCGAGGACAGUGUAUGGUGGGCAGUUUGACUGGGGCGGUCUCCUCCUAAAGAGUAACGGAGGAGUACGAAGGUGCGCUCAGACCGGUCGGAAAUCGGUCGCAGAGUAUAAAGGCAAAAGCGCGCUUGACUGCGAGACAGACACGUCGAGCAGGUACGAAAGUAGGUCUUAGUGAUCCGGUGGUUCUGUAUGGAAGGGCCAUCGCUCAACGGAUAAAAGGUACUCCGGGGAUAACAGGCUGAUACCGCCCAAGAGUUCAUAUCGACGGCGGUGUUUGGCACCUCGAUGUCGGCUCAUCACAUCCUGGGGCUGAAGCCGGUCCCAAGGGUAUGGCUGUUCGCCAUUUAAAGUGGUACGCGAGCUGGGUUUAGAACGUCGUGAGACAGUUCGGUCCCUAUCUGCCGUGGACGUUUGAGAUUUGAGAGGGGCUGCUCCUAGUACGAGAGGACCGGAGUGGACGAACCUCUGGUGUUCCGGUUGUCACGCCAGUGGCAUUGCCGGGUAGCUAUGUUCGGAAAAGAUAACCGCUGAAAGCAUCUAAGCGGGAAACUUGCCUCAAGAUGAGAUCUCACUGGGAACUUGAUUCCCCUGAAGGGCCGUCGAAGACUACGACGUUGAUAGGCUGGGUGUGUAAGCGUUGUGAGGCGUUGAGCUAACCAGUACUAAUUGCCCGUGAGGCUUGAAC
rnacentral:rRNA from 1 species